CCUACGGGAGGCAGCAGUGAGGAAUAUUGGUCAAUGGGCGCGAGCCUGAACCAGCCAAGUAGCGUGAAGGAUGACUGCCCUACGGGUUGUAAACUUCUUUUAUAAAGGAAUAAAGUGAGGCACGUGUGCCUUUUUGUAUGUACUUUAUGAAUAAGGAUCGGCUAACUCCGUGCCAGCAGCCGCGGUAAUACGGAGGAUCCGAGCGUUAUCCGGAUUUAUUGGGUUUAAAGGGAGCGUAGAUGGGUUGUUAAGUCAGUUGUGAAAGUUUGCGGCUCAACCGUAAAAUUGCAAUUGAUACUGGCAGCCUUGAGUACAGUUGAGGUAGGCGGAAUUCGUGGUGUAGCGGUGAAAUGCGUAGAUAUCACGAAGAACACCGGUUGCGAAGGCAGACUACUAAACUGCCACUGACGUUGAUGCGCGAAAGUGUGGGGAUCAAACAGGAUUAGAUACCCCGGUAGUC
rnacentral:rRNA from 1 species